rnacentral:tRNA from 1 species
GGGGUUGUAGCUCAGUGGUAGAGCGCUUGCCUGGCAUGCAUGAGGCCCUGAGUUCAAUCCUCAGCACCACA